AAACUGGGAUUAGAUACCCCACUAUGCCUGACUGUAAACUACAAGCCAAAAAAGUACGAGCCACACUUGAAACUUAAAGGACCUGGCGGUACUCUACACCGACCUAGAGGGGCCUGUCCUAUAAUCGAUAAUCCACGAAAAACCCAACCAUCUCUUGCCAUACAGCCUAUAUACCGCCGUCUCCAGCACAUUUUCCAAAAAAUGAAGCUAAACAGUCCUACACACAAGCACGUCAGGUCAAGGUGUAGCUCAUGAGGUGGAAGAGGCGGACCACAAUACCACAACACACAAAAACCACGUUGAAACAUGAGGAAGAAGAAGAAUUUAGCAGUAAGUGAAGGUCGAAUGCCCCACUGAACCCCGCCCUAGAGUACGCACACACCGCCCGUCACCCU
rnacentral:rRNA from 1 species